rnacentral:rRNA from 1 species
GAUGAACGCUGGCGGCGUGCCUAAUACAUGCAAGUCGAGCGAACAGAUGAGGAGCUUGCUCCUCUGACGUUAGCGGCGGACGGGUGAGUAACACGUGGAUAACCUACCUAUAAGACUGGGAUAACUUCGGGAAACCGGAGCUAAUACCGGAUAAUAUAUUGAACCGCAUGGUUCAAUAGUGAAAGACGGUUUUGCUGUCACUUAUAGAUGGAUCCGCGCCGCAUUAGCUAGUUGGUAAGGUAACGGCUUACCAAGGCAACGAUGCGUAGCCGACCUGAGAGGGUGAUCGGCCACACUGGAACUGAGACACGGUCCAGACUCCUACGGGAGGCAGCAGUAGGGAAUCUUCCGCAAUGGGCGAAAGCUUGACGGAGCCACGCCGCGUGAGUGAUGAAGGUCUUCGGAUCGUAAAACUCUGUUAUUAGGGAAGAACAAAUGUGUAAGUAACUAUGCACGUCUUGACGGUACCUAAUCAAAAAGCCACGGCUAACUACGUG